ensembl:lncRNA
GAAUAAUUGUGACAGACAGCUGAGGUAUUCCAGUAGACUUACAUUAGUGGUGCAGAGUUGUACCUCCUAUGCUGUUUGGAUUUCUUAGUGAGUAAACUCAAUCUUACUGAACUCUCCCCCAUGAAGAUAUUUUGCUGUAUUUAAGGUAAUAUUGUUGUAUUUUCCAUCCAGGGUGUCCCCUGCCUUCACCCUCAGUCAGAUGGGAUAGACUCCAGCCUCACGCGACCCUAAUGAGGAUUAAACGUUGAAUGGAUGGUUUUUAUCUCUGCUGUUCCAGUUUUUGCAGCCUUGGGGUGAACUUCUGGAGGUGGUGCACAAAUAGCCAAUCGGUCAGAGUGUGGGAGGAGCCGAGUAAACAAAAAAUGAGCAAACAGCUUUGAGGUCAAUCAGGAUCUGAUCAGUCACUCGGAAAUCAGUCAAACUUUAAGAUGAAUCUGAUUCUGCUCUUCGGUCUGUCUCACUGCUGCUGGAUGGCUGCUGCCAGGUAUACAUGGACCGAUAAGCCCUGGAUCAUUGUGGGUGAGCAUGAAAUCAAGGAGGGAGAGACACUGAAGGUCAGCUGCACGCUUCCAAUCGACUACACUGGAGGAAACUGUCGCCUUUUCAGAGGAAACUCUGCCAUCCCCUUCAGGCUAAAGACAGCUUUGGAUUUUGUCUGCGUCUUUCACCUGUCAUCAAAAGUGCUGCUAGGAAAUCAUCCGGUGGGUAGCAAGAUCUCCCUCAGGUGUGACUACCAGAUCCAGGAAUUCACCUCAAGGUCCAGUGACAACGCAGCGGUGAUCGUCUGGGGCAGCUGUCCCAGUCCCAGUCUGUCAGUCAGCCACCACUUUGUCUCACCUGACGACAGCAUUGAGGUCACCUGUUUACCUCCUCUUGGUUACGCCCCCAGCUGUAGCUUCUACAGAGGCCAGUACACAAUUGCAGAGGGGUCCUGCAGCAGGAACAUGACAGGUCAGGAGCUGGCCAUUUGGGAGGAACCAACCUUCCUGCUUCCUGUCAACCUGACCUGCACUUACGAGCCAAACCUGGACCACUACAUCCGCUCAGACAACAGCAACCAGCAUCUGCUGCUCGUAGUCGAUGUGAACAGAGUCACCACAUCAGUCAACUGUAAAGUCUCAGUAAGUGAUGAUCAACUGGAGGUGUUCAAAGACAGUAGCUGGACGUCUGCUGGGGCAAAUGGAUCCAGUGUCACCAUCCAGGUGACAAACAGCAGUCUGAUGCUCAGUGACACCUGUGACUACUUAAAGAGUCUGAACUGACGGAAGUGAACACAUAUAGAAUCAGAUAUACUGACGUAAAUACAUACAGAUUCAUACACCCUGAUUUAAACACAUGCAGAGUCAGACUUGAAAUAAAGGAGAGACAUCUGAGUUCAAGAGAAAGAAAAAUGAGUUUAUUUUAGCUUAUUUUUUCUAUACAGUGUGUCUACAAUGGUAGCAGAGGCUAAGGUUGUGGCUGAAUGCAUUUUUACUGUCUCUUGUGUACACAACCUCUCUGGUUGUAAAUGAAAGUCAAUGGAGGGUGGGGAGGAUAUGGUCUUGGUCUGAGAUAUUGGCCCUCUAGUGACAUCCAGUGGUUUUAACUGUUGUACAUCGCAUAGCUACUGAAUUAAACAAUACAUUUCAAAUCAAUUCAACCGACAAUGAUUUAUUGCCAGACUUCAAUUAAUGAGUUGUUCUAACUUGAGGAACUUUACCGAAGUGAAAUCACAGGUUUAAUAAAUGAACUGCUGACCCACACAUUAAAAAACAAACACAAUUUUUUUUUUAAAAAACAAGACAUGGAAUGGAUGUAAAAUAUCUUUUUUCAGAUUACUGAACAAGGAGGUGUGCCAAUAAUUGUUCUAUGAACUGGUAGCGGGUCAAUCUGUCCCUGUGUUUGUGACAGUCCAUUUAAUAUAUUAAAUUCCAAUGUACAUUAUAUGAA